rnacentral:rRNA from 1 species
AGAGACAGCAGCGCCACGGUAAUACGGAGGGCGCGAGCGUUACCCGGAUUUACUGGGCGUAAAGGGCGUGUAGGCGGCCUGGGGCGUCCCAUGUGAAAGGCCACGGCUCAACCGUGGAGGAGCGUGGGAUACGCUCAGGCUAGAGGGUGGGAGAGGGUGGUGGAAUUCCCGGAGUAGCGGUGAAAUGCGCAGAUACCGGGAGGAACGCCGAUGGCGAAGGCAGCCACCUGGUCCACUUCUGACGCUGAGGCGCGAAAGCGUGGGGAGCAAACCGGAUUAGAGACCCCAGUAGUCCCUGUCUCUUAUACA